rnacentral:rRNA from 1 species
GAUGAACGCUGGCGGCGUGCCUAAUACAUGCAAGUCGAGCGAACAGACGAGGAGCUUGCUCCUUUGACGUUAGCGGCGGACGGGUGAGUAACACGUGGGUAACCUACCUAUAAGACUGGGAUAACUUCGGGAAACCGGAGCUAAUACCGGAUAAUAUUUCGAACCGCAUGGUUCGAUAGUGAAAGAUGGCUUUGCUAUCACUUAUAGAUGGACCUGCGCCGUAUUAGCUAGUUGGUAAGGUAACGGCUUACCAAGGCAACGAUACGUAGCCGACCUGAGAGGGUGAUCGGCCACACUGGAACUGAGACACGGUCCAGACUCCUACGGGAUGCAGCAGUAGGGAAUCUUCCGCAAUGGGCGAAAGCCUGACGGAGCAACGCCGCGUGAGUGAUGAAGGUCUUCGGAUCGUAAAACUCUGUUAUUAGGGAAGAACAAACGUGUAAGUAACUGUGCACGUCUUGACGGUACCUAAUCAGAAAGCCACGGCUAACUACGUG